ACCAAUACGUAGAAGGUUCCAAGUACAUGAGAGUCGAUUGAUAAGAGAGGGUUUUCCUUGGCUGAAAGAAAACCUGAAUAGAGACGCAUGGAAUGCUAAACCAGAGUGCGGUUAAUCCCCGUCGGUUUCAUACCGUUACCAUGAUCAAGUGAUGAAUAAGUCUUAUACUUAUUUGUAAUUAGGGUGGUACCGCGAACGAAACUCGUCCCUGCA
rnacentral:ncRNA from 1 species